rnacentral:lncRNA from 1 species
UUUGUGGUGAGUAUAAGGGUAAUAUAGCAAUGGUGUAUGUUUGUGGUGAGUAUAAGUAAAGAACUGCAAUAAGCCAUGUUUAUUUUUUUCAAGUUUGCAUUGCAUAUAAGUGUGAUCUGUCACUUGUUUGUGAUGAGUGUAAUAAUGCCAUUGCUAUGUCACAUGUUGGUGUUGAGUAUAAUAGUGUGAAUGCAACGUCACAUGUUGGUGUUGAGUAGAAGAGUGUCAUUGCUAUGUCACAUGUUGGUGUUGAGUAUACGAGUGUCACUGCUAUGUCACAUACACAUGUGUGUUGAGUAUAAGAGUGUCACUGCUACGUCACAUGCUGGUGUUGAGUAUAAGAGUGUCACUGCUACGCCACAUGUUGGUGUUGAGGUAAAGGGUGUCAGUGAUAUGUCACAUGUUGGUGUUGAGUAUAAGAGUGUCAUUGCUAUGUCACAUGUUGGUGUUGAGUAUAAUAGUGUCAUUGCUAUGUCACAUGUUGGUGUUGACUAUAAGAGUGUUAUUGCUAUGUCACAUGUUAGUGUUGACUAUAAGAGUGUCAUUGCUAAGUGACAUGUUGGUGUUGACUAUAAG